rnacentral:tRNA from 8 species
GCCGAAAUGGCCGAGUGGUCUAAGGCGCUUGACUUAAGUUCAAGUUCUCGCGAGAGAGCGUGGGUUCGAACCCCACUUUCGGCA